UACGGGGGGGGGCAAGCGUUGUUCGGAAUUACUGGGCGUAAAGGGCUCGUAGGUGGCCAACUAAGUCAGACGUGAAAUCCCUCAGCUUAACUGGGGAACUGCGUCUGAUACUGGUUGGCUUGAGUGCAGGAGAGGAAUGCGGAAUUCCAGGUGUAGCGGUGAAAUGCGUAGAUAUCGGAAGGAACAUCAGUGGCGAAAGCGGCUUCCUGGUCCAGCACCGACGUUCAGGCACGAAAGCGUGGGGAGCAAACAGG
rnacentral:rRNA from 1 species